rnacentral:rRNA from 1 species
AUACGUAGGGUGCGAGCGUUGUCCGGAAUUACUGGGCGUAAAGAGCUCGUAGGUGGUUUGUCGCGUCGUCUGUGAAAUUCCGGGGCUUAACUCCGGGCGUGCAGGCGAUACGGGCAUAACUUGAGUACUGUAGGGGAGACUGGAAUUCCUGGUGUAGCGGUGAAAUGCGCAGAUAUCAGGAGGAACACCGGUGGCGAAGGGGGGUCUCUGGGCAGUAACUGACGCUGAGGAGCGAAAGCAUGGGUAGCGAACAGGAUUAGAUACCCUGGUAGUCCAUGCCGUAAACGGUGGGCGCUAGGUGUAGGGGUCUUCCACGACUUCUGUGCCGUAGCUAACGCAUUAAGCGCCCCGCCUGGGGAGUACGGUCGCAAGGCUAAAACUUAAAGGAAUUGACGGGG